UUCUUGGCAGGGGAGGCUAAAGGUAUUGGGCUUGUCUGAGUCUCCUAGGCAAAUGCAAUUGCGGACCCACCAUCCAGGGAGUGACAUGACACCAAUGCCCUCCCUAGUCGAUAGGUCUGGAGGAUCCCCUUUGCGCAUCUCAAGGGAAAAAGCCAGAAUCAGAGGAGAGUCAGCUGACAAUAUGGAGAUGGAGGCUACUCAUGUACAGAAUGUCUGUUGACUCCCUAUAACAACCCACAGACCAGUCAAGUACGUUUCAAUGAAGCUCACCAAACUACCAGGGGGAUAAUUGUUGAUGCGAAAAGUGAGGAUUCUUGGAUUUUGAAGUGGUUUCAGAUCCAGAUGAAUCCAUAUCCAAAUUGUAAAUAAAUAUUACAAAAAUAA